rnacentral:rRNA from 1 species
GGCUCUUUGCAAAUUUUAUUAAGUUGGAUAAAGAGUCUGACCUGCCCAGUGAUAGGGAUAUUUAACGGCCGCGGUACCCUGACCGUGCAAAGGUAGCAUAAUCAUUCGCUUUUUAAUUGGAGGCUUGUAUGAAUGGUUUGACGUGGGCUAAGCUGUCUCUUUAAAAAUUAUUAGAAAUUAUCUUUUAGGUGAAAAGACCUAAAUAGUACUAUGGGACGAGAAGACCCCUUUGAGCUUGAAUUAAAGUUUUUAAUAGUAUUUAUCAAUUUUUUUUUGAAUUAGAUUAUUAGAAAUGUGUUUUUAGUGGGGGAAAACAAAGGAAUAGUAAAAGCUUCCUUUUAAAUAUAUUAAUAUAAGUUGAUGGAUAUUUAUAUGUUAAUGAUCCGUAUUAUAUGAUUAAAGGAUAAAGUUACCAUGGGGAUAACAGCGUAAUAUCUUCUGGAGAGUUCUUAUUGAAAGAAGGGUUUGCGACCUCGAUGUUGGACUAGGACGUCCUAAAGGUGCAGUUGUUUUUAAGGGUUGGUCUGUUCGACCAUUAAAGUCCUACA